rnacentral:rRNA from 1 species
UACGUAGGGGGCAAGCGUUGUCCGGAAUUAUUGGGCGUAAAGAGCGUGUAGGCGGUCCGGUAAGUCAGCUGUGAAAGUCAAGGGCUCAACCCUUGAAAGCCGGUUGAUACUGUCGGGCUAGAGUCCGGAAGAGGCGAGUGGAAUUCCUGGUGUAGCGGUGAAAUGCGCAGAUAUCAGGAGGAACACCAAUGGCGAAGGCAGCUCGCUGGGACGUGACUGACGCUGAGACGCGAAAGCGUGGGGAGCAAACAGG